AUAAUAAUAAUAAGUACCAGAAAAACCGCACUACAAACUAGAGCUGUUUACAAACUAAAACCGCUAUCAGGACCUCAAGAUUGAACUUCAAAGACUCUGGCAGAAACCAGUGCAGGUGGUCCCGGUGGUGAUGGGCACACUGGGUGCCGUGCCAAAAGAUCUCAGCCGGCAUUUGGAAACAAUAGACAUUGACAAAAUUACGAUCUGCCAACUGCAAAAGGCCACCCUACUGGGAUCUGCGCGCAUCAUCCGAAAAUACAUCACACAGUCCUAAACACUUGGGAAGUGUUCGACUUGUAAUUUUGUGAUAUGAAAUCCAGCAUGUCUAUCUUGUUUGCUGUGUCAUACAAUAAAAUAAUAAUAAGUAAUUUUGGCUCCCAAAGUUGGAUAUAAGUAAGAUAUAUAGUCAUUCCCUGAUGCAUUAUGGAAGAUGCCUUUGGGAGGUCUCUAAAAAUGUCCCUGUGUACUUAUGCAAGGCUUGCCUGGUCUUGUUAUUUAAUUUCACAAUUACAGUAGAGUCUCGUUUAUCCAACAUAAACAUUGGAUAAGCAAAAAUGUUGGAUAAUAAGGAGGGAUUAAGGAAAAGCCCAUUAUACAUCAAAUUAUGUUAUGAUUUAACAAAUUAAGCACCAAAAUAUUAUGUUUUACAACAAAUCGACAGAAAAAGCAGUUCAAUACAUGGUAGCGUAAUGUAGUAAUUCCUUACGAAAAACAUCGCAAUGUAUUGAAAACAUUGACUACAAAACAUUGACUACUAAAAGGCAGACUGCGUUGGAUAAUAUAGAAUGUUGGACGAAUGAAGGUUGGAUAAGCGAGACUCUACUGUAGUUAGCUAUGGGGAAACAAAUUGACUAUCUCUUAUUUUCUGUUUGUGGUGUAGGACCCUAUUCUUACUCUUUCCAUGCUGUUUCUAUCUCCAGACCCAAUACUUUUGCUGAAGAAAUGAUGGCAAGGAACACAUCUACUUCUUCAAAUAUGAGCUACACCUGCAUGUUAUCCCAGCAGUCUUACAGACAGUUCAAGAUACAACCUGUUGGAAUCAUCACAGCGCAUGUUUCCCAGAUGGCACCAUAUCAACUCUGCUAUCAACAUACCAUGUUAUCUGGGUUAUCUUCUUAGUCAAUUCAGCUUAAAUUUCAGUACUUCAGUACUUCGCGGUUCACUUUUCACAGAUUCGCUGCCUUCCAGUUUUUCAAUAAACUCUAAAAGACUAUUAUAAAUCAUAAAAAAUUACAAUUUACAGCCUAAGAAAGGGAGGAAGGAGAAGCCAAAGGAAGAGAAAAGGAGCCCAAGUGGCAAUGGGAGGAAAAGGAGGCGAUUUAUCAACACAGGAUUGGUUGAUAUAGACUUAACAUAAUGUAUAAUUACUAAAACAAUGUAUAAAUAUUAAAAUAAAUAUAGUGUCCCUA